AGUGGCGAAAGGGCGAGUAAUACGAUCGAAUGUGCCCCGAGGUGGGGGAUAGCGUCGGGAAACUGACGGUAAUACCCCAUGUGCUCUACGGAGGAAAGGCUUGCCGCCUUGGGAUCAGCGAUCGUCCUAUCAGGUAGUUGGUGAGGUAAUGGCUCACCAAGCCGAAGACGGGUAGCGGGUGUGAGAGCAUGGCCCGCCGCAUCGGGACUGAGACACUGCCCGGACUCCUACGGGAGGCUGCAGCGACGAAUCUUCCGCAAUGCGUGAAAGCGUGACGGAGCAAUGCCGCGUGUGGGAUGAAGCGCCUUCGGCGUGUAAACCACUGUCAGGACCUAGGAACAAUGACCGGGUCCAGAGGAAGGGCCGGCUAAACUCGUGCCAGCAGCCGCGGUAAUACGAGUGGCCCAAGCGUUAGGCGGAAUCACUGGGCUUAAAGCGUGCGUAGGCGGACGUGAAGGCGUCUUGUGAAAUCCCACGGCUCAACCGUGGAAUAGCAGGGCGAACCACGCGUCUUGAGGCAGGUAGGGGACGAUGGAACUGUCGGUGGAGCGGUGAAAUGCGUAGAUAUCGACAGGAACGCCGGUGGAGAAGCCGGUCGUCUGGGCCUGACCUGACGCUGAGGCACGAAAGCGUGGGGAGCAAACAGGAUUAGAUACCCUGGUAGUCCACGCCGUAAACGAUGCGCACUAGGUCGGA
rnacentral:rRNA from 1 species